GCCAGGUGUGGUGGUGGGCACCUGUAAUCCCAGCUACUUGGGAGGCUGAGGCAGGAGAAUCACUUGAACCCAGGAGUUGGAGACUGCAGUGAGCCAAGACUGUGCCACUGCACUCCAGCCUGGGUGACAGAGUGAGACUCUGUCUCAA
ensembl:misc_RNA Metazoa_SRP Metazoan signal recognition particle RNA